GACGAACGCUGGCGGCGUGCUUAACACAUGCAAGUCGAACGAUGAAGCCGGAGCUUGCUCUGGUGAAUUAGUGGCGAACGGGUGAGUAACACGUGGGUAACCUGCCCUUGACUCUGGGAUAACUGCGGAAACUGUAGCUAAUACCGGAUACGACCCUCGGAGGCAUCUCCUGGGGGUGGAAAGAAUUUCGGUCAAGGAUGGACUCGCGGCCUAUCAGCUAGUUGGUGAGGUAAAGGCUCACCAAGGCGACGACGGGUAGCCGGCCUGAGAGGGUGACCGGCCACACUGGGACUGAGACACGGCCCAGACUCCUACGGGAGGCAGCAGUGGGGAAUAUUGCACAAUGGGCGCAAGCCUGAUGCAGCAACGCCGCGUGAGGGAUGACGGCCUUCGGGUUGUAAACCUCUUUUAGCAGGGAAGAAGCGAAAGUGACGGUACCUGCAGAAAAAGCACCGGCUAACUACGUGCCAGCAGCCGCGGUAA
rnacentral:rRNA from 1 species